GCUGGUAUGGCCGAGGUAUGUUUGACGUUAGACUCCAAUCUCGCGCGCCCAGCACAAUCUAACCCCUUUCCAGUGGUCUAAGGCGGUGGUUUUAAGUUGUAUUAAACACCAUUUUCGAAAGAAGCGUGCGUUCGAACCGCACUGCCAGCA